GAAAAAUAAUGAUUUUUCAUUUUCUUUUCUUUUUCCAGGGCAUAUCAAAAUACAAUUUAGAAUGCCAUAAAAAGUAUGGAGAUAUAUGGGGGCUUUAUGAUGGAUUCCUGCCUGUGCUAGUCAUCACAGAACCAGAUAUAAUCAAGAAUGUGCUAGUGAAAGAAUUUUAUUCUGUCUUCACAAAUUGAAAUCAUCUUUGGGGCCUACAGCAUGGAUGUGAUCACCAGUACCUUAUUUGGAGUGAAGAUGGAUUCCCUCAACAACCCCCGGGAUCCCUUUGUGAAAAACACCAGAAAGCUUUUUAUAUUUGACUUUUUCAAUUCACUGGCUUUCUCUACAGCUUACAUGCUGGACCAAGGAUCCAAGGAUGUUUGCAGGAAAAAUGCUGACAAAAGGCUGUUGGGGCAUCAGCAUCAUGUCUGAGGAGGUGUCUCUGCUUAUUUGCAAGUAUGCUCAAAUGAUGAUUGGAGCAUUUGUAGUUGUGGUUGAUUGAAAGAAAACUGCUCCCUAAGAAUGUCACAAUUAGCAGUUGUGGCUUUGUUGGAGUAGGUAUGGCCUUG